UAGGGAAUCUUCCGCAAUGGACGAAAGUCUGACGGAGCAACGCCGCGUGAGCGAUGAAGGUUUUCGGAUCGUAAAGCUCUGUUGUUAGGGAAGAACAAGUAUCGGAGUAACUGCCGGUACCUUGACGGUACCUAACCAGAAAGCCACGGCUAACUACGUGCCAGCAGCCGCGGUAAUACGUAGGUGGCAAGCGUUGUCCGGAUUUAUUGGGCGUAAAGCGCGCGCAGGCGGUCCUUUAAGUCUGAUGUGAAAUCUUGCGGCUCAACCGCAAGCGGUCAUUGGAAACUGGGGGACUUGAGUACAGAAGAGGAAAGCGGAAUUCCACGUGUAGCGGUGAAAUGCGUAGAGAUGUGGAGGAACACCAGUGGCGAAGGCGGCUUUCUGGUCUGUAACUGACGCUGAGGCGCGAAAGCGUGGGGAGCAAACA
rnacentral:rRNA from 1 species